GCAUAACGCGAAGAACCUUACCUGGGCUCGAAAUGUAGAGGACGAUAUCAGAGAUGAUAUUUCUCGAAAGGGUCUCUAUAUAGGUGCUGCAUGGCUGUCGUCAGCUCGUGCCGUGAGGUGUUUGGUUAAGUCCAGCAACGAGCGCAACCCUUAUCGUUAGUUGCCAACGCGUGAAGGCGGGAACUCUAACGAGACUGCCCGGGUUAACCAGGAGGAAGGUGAGGAUGACGUCAAGUCCGCAUGGCCUUUAUGUCCAGGGCUACACACGUGCUACAAUGGUCGGUACAGAAGGCAGCAAAACCGUAAGGCGGAGCAAAUCCUCAAAACCGAUCUCAGUUCAGAUUGUAGACUGCAACUCGUCUACAUGAAGUUGGAAUUGCUAGUAAUGGCGUGUCAGCAACAACGCCGUGAAUACGUUCCCGGGUCUUGUACACACCG
rnacentral:rRNA from 1 species